UGCUGCUGCCUUACCCAGUGCACGCUACACUCUCCCUGGCCAGCCGCUAACCGAGAUCGCUACACUACUUAAAGUUGAUUCCUAAAGUUUGUUUUAAAAUGGUAAACAUGAAUCGUUUACCACAGGUUAUCUACUGAAAGAGUCUUCAGGAACAUCUCUACGGCUUCUUACAGGAACAGUGGGUUGAAACCUGGUUCCAGGAGACCGGACCUAGCUUGAGCAACUUUGCUGUAUCAAACCCCAAGUCUACGCUGGUGUGACAUCGGGGCCGCCGCCAGGUUUUAUGGGCCCCGUGCAAUGGACCUCUAGUAUCAGAAAACUGGUGACGGAGUCAGAAAUCGCGUGUGAUGGAACUUGUCACCAGCUGACGCCCCUCCCUGUCUACUAGAGUUGCUGUAGCUCGUUUGAGUCUAUACUGCAUUGGGACGCUGAGAAGACGGAUUCUGGACGUUUUAUUGUUUUAACAUUAUUAUUGCUAUUGAUAUAGUUACGCUCGUUAAUACUAUUGCUGCUAUUGUUUCUAUUGUUAUAGUCAUUGCGAUUAUUGUUGUUUUCUUAUAUUCAUGUGCUUGGCCAUUUUAAUGUUUUUAU